rnacentral:lncRNA from 1 species
UGCUCUUCUUCUGUGCAAUCUCAGUUAUACAUGCAUUUCUUGUAGGUGAUUCAGACUUUUCUUCUGAAUAUAAUAACCAUGUGUCACAAAGGCAAAUUCCAGCAUCUAAUGGAGCAUUUCUCACCAAAGAUGAUGAGUUUCUUAAUUUUGAGGAACCAUUUUGUGCUUCAAAAUCCUGCUCUUCAUUUAUGAUAAAUGCAAAUGAAGAGAAUUGGAGCAAUGCAGAAUCCAGGACAGUGCAAAAUGUCAUUUCUCAGAUGGUUGCACUGAUCAUGUGUUUAAUCAUUUCAGUAUGUACAAGGUAAUUUUUAUUUCUUUUAUUUUCUGUUUCUGACAUGAAUGCUUGCUUCAUUUCAACUGGGGAAUAAAACUUAAUUUAAUUUCA